CGGGGUAUGGCGCAGCUCGGCUAGCGUACCUGCUUUGGGAGCAGGGGGUCGCAGGUUCGAAUCCUGCUACCCCGACAA
rnacentral:tRNA from 1 species